rnacentral:rRNA from 1 species
AGAAUCAACGCUGGCGGCGUGCCUAACACAUGCAAGUCGAACGAGAAAGGUGGAGCAAUCCACGAGUAAAGUGGCGCACGGGUGAGUAACACGUGACUAACCUACCCUUGAGUGGGGAAUAACUGAGGGAAACCUUAGCUAAUACCGCAUAACACCUACGGGUCAAAGGAGCAAUUCGCUUAAGAGGGGUCGGCGGCAGAUUAGUUAGUUGGCGGGGUAAUGGCCCACCAAGACAGUGAUCUGUA